rnacentral:lncRNA from 1 species
AGGAUUGCAACAUAAACAUAAUUUUUCUAGAAUAAACUCCUACGGAUAUGAAGUGCUUAAACUUGAUUUUUGUAUGUUGAUAAAACAAAGUAAAACAAAAUUUGAGUUAGGUACAACUUUGCCUCUCAAAUUCUAGAUUUUGUUAAAUCGAAACUUGAUUUAGGCACAGCUUGUCACAUUGUGUCUUCAUAGUAUCGGUACAUAUGAAGCACAACGGCCACACAUGCUUCACGACACCCAAAUUGUAUUGUCCACAUGUUAGACUUGAAAAAUCACCACACGUGAGGGGGCGUAUUGAGAAUGAAUCCCACAUUGAUGACAAGAGAGACCUUGCAUG